rnacentral:rRNA from 1 species
GAUGAACGCUAGCUACAGGCUUAACACAUGCAAGUCGAGGGGCAUCAGGAAGAAAGCUUGCUUUCUUUGCUGGCGACCGGCGCACGGGUGAGUAACACGUAUCCAACCUGCCCUUUACUCGGGGAUAGCCUUUCGAAAGAAAGAUUAAUACCCGAUAGCAUAAUGAUUCCGCAUGGUUUCAUUAUUAAAGGAUUCCGGUAAAGGAUGGGGAUGCGUUCCAUUAGGUUGUUGGUGAGGUAACGGCCCACCAAGCCUUCGAUGGAUAGGGGUUCUGAGAGGAAGGUCCCCCACAUUGGAACUGAGACACGGUCCAAACUCCUACGGGAGGCAGCAGUGAGGAAUAUUGGUCAAUGGGCGCUAGCCUGAACCAGCCAAGUAGCGUGAAGGAUGAAGGCUCUAUGGGUCGUAAACUUCUUUUAUAUAAGAAUAAAGUGCAGUAUGUAUACUGUUUUGUAUGUAUUAUAUGAAUAAGGAUCGGCUAACUCCGUGCCAGCAGCCGCGGUAAUACGGAGGAUCCGAGCGUUAUCCGGAUUUAUUGGGUUUAAAGGGAGCGUAGGUGGACUGGUAAGUCAGUUGUGAAAGUUUGCGGCUCAACCGUAAAAUUGCAGUUGAUACUGUCAGUCUUGAGUACAGUAGAGGUGGGCGGAAUUCGUGGUGUAGCGGUGAAAUGCUUAGAUAUCACGAAGAACUCCGAUUGCGAAGGCAGCUCACUGGACUGCAACUGACACUGAUGCUCGAAAGUGUGGGUAUCAAACAGGAUUAGAUACCCUGGUAGUCCACACAGUAAACGAUGAAUACUCGCUGUUUGCGAUAUACAGUAAGCGGCCAAGCGAAAGCAUUAAGUAUUCCACCUGGGGAGUACGCCGGCAACGGUGAAACUCAAAGGAAUUGACGGGGGCCCGCACAAGCGGAGGAACAUGUGGUUUAAUUCGAUGAUACGCGAGGAACCUUACCCGGGCUUAAAUUGCAGUGGAAUGAUGUGGAAACAUGUCAGUGAGCAAUCACCGCUGUGAAGGUGCUGCAUGGUUGUCGUCAGCUCGUGCCGUGAGGUGUCGGCUUAAGUGCCAUAACGAGCGCAACCCUUAUCUUUAGUUACUAACAGGUUAUGCUGAGGACUCUAGAGAGACUGCCGUCGUAAGAUGUGAGGAAGGUGGGGAUGACGUCAAAUCAGCACGGCCCUUACGUCCGGGGCUACACACGUGUUACAAUGGGGGGUACAGAAGGCAGCUAGCGGGUGACCGUAUGCUAAUCCCAAAAUCCUCUCUCAGUUCGGAUCGAAGUCUGCAACCCGACUUCGUGAAGCUGGAUUCGCUAGUAAUCGCGCAUCAGCCACGGCGCGGUGAAUACGUUCCCGGGCCUUGUACACACCGCCCGUCAAGCCAUGGGAGCCGGGGGUACCUGAAGUACGUAACCGCAAGGAUCGUCCUAGGGUAAAACUGGAA